rnacentral:rRNA from 1 species
UAAUACAGAGGGUGCGAGCGUUGUUCGGAAUUACUGGGCGUAAAGCGCGCGCAGGCGGCCUUUUAAGUCUGACGGUGAAAUGCCGGGGCUCAACCCCGUGCCCGCCGGAGAUACUGGGAGGCUGGAGACGAGUAGAGGCAAGCGGAAUUCCGGGUGUAGCGGUGGAAUGCGUAGAGAUCCGGAAGAACACCGGAGGCGAAGGCGGCUUGCUGGGCUCGGUCUGACGCUGAGGCGCGAAAGCGUGGGGAGCGAACAGGAUUAGAUACCCUGGUAGUCCACGCCGUAAACGAUGGGCACUAGACGCGGGUGGGAUCGACCCCUUCCGUGUCGCAGCUAACGCGAUAAGUGCCCCGCCUGGGGAGUACGGCCGCAAGGCUG